rnacentral:rRNA from 1 species
AACUUUUAAUAACAGAUCUCUUGGUUCCAGCAUUAAUGAAGAAUGCAGCAAAAUGCAAUAAGUAAUGUGAAUUACAGAAUUUCAUGAAUUAUCAAAUCUUUAAAAUUUAACAUACAAGUGCCG